AUGGGCCUCGACGUCGCGGAAAUAUCCGAAUUGGCGGAGCUCCGGCCGAUCCAGACGGCCGUGGGCGGCGCGCGGGCUACUGCAGGGCCGGGGGCGGACGAUGGCGCUGCCGAAACCGGCUGCGUCACACCCAAGGCGAGCGGCGCGCGGCCGGUCGCUGCAGGAGGAGCGGACGACGACGCUGCCGCCGACAACGGCUGCGUCACGCCGAGGGCGAGCGGCUCCAUGGCUAUGCUGCCCAUCGCGCCACUGAAGCAAGAUGACGGCGUCGACGUCGGCUUCGCCACGCCGCUGGCCACGGGUGUAGAAAUUGGGCCGCGAGACAGCUGCGGAGCGGGGGCCACUGCCGGCGACGAGGGCAGCUUCACCACGCCGACGACGGCCGACAGCGCGCUGGUGCCGGCCACGGUGUGCCCGCCCGCGCCGCGGAAGUCGGCGCCGGUGCCGACGAGGAAGCGCGCGCCGCUGCAGCAGCGGCUCUUCUUCUACCCGGUGCCGCACGACCUGACCACCGUCUUUGUCGCCGUGCCGCAGUGCCCGCCGCCUGCCAAGAAGAUGCGGGCGCACGUGGUGGAGUCAUCUGUGCCUCUAGGCACGUGA
rnacentral:rRNA from 1 species